rnacentral:rRNA from 1 species
AACGAACGUUGGCGGCAUGGAUUAGGCAUGCAAGUCGGGGGAAUCACCCGCAAGGGUGGGAACCGGCGUAAGGGGCAGUAAGGCGUGGGUACCUACCCCGGGGUCCGGGAUAGCCGUCCGAGAGGGCGGGUAAUACCGGAUGACCUCGGGAGAGCAAAGAUUUAACGCCCCGGGAGGGGCCCACGUGAUAUUACCUAGUUGGCGGGGUAACGGCCCACCAAGGGGGAGAUGUCUAGCGGGUGUGAGAGCACGACCCGCGCCACUGGCACUGAGACACUGGCCAGACACCUACGGGUGGCUGCAGUCGAGGAUCUUCGGCAAUGGGCGCAAGCCCGACCGAGCGAUGCCGCGUGGGCGACGAAGGCCUUCGGGUUGUAAAGCCCUGUCGAGGGGGAGAAAGCCGCAAGGCGGAUCUAUCCCUGGAGGAAGCACGGGCUAAGUUCGUGCCAGCCGCCGCUGUAAAAC